UACGUAGGGCGCAAGCGUUGUCCGGAAUUAUUGGGCGUAAAGAGCUCGUAGGCGGCCAGUUGCGUCUGCUGUGAAAUCCCGGGGCUCAACCCCGGGCUUGCAGUGGAUACGGGCUGGCUGGAGGCAGGCAGGGGAGAACGGAAUUCCCGGUGUAGCGGUGAAAUGCGCAGAUAUCAGGAGGAACACCGAUGGCGAAGGCAGGUCUCUGGGCCACUACUGACGCUGAGAAGCGAAAGCAUGGGGAGCGAACAGG
rnacentral:rRNA from 1 species